UGGCCAAGAGUUAUAUUUCUCCAAGACCUCGAUAAAACAAUCUUCCUCUGCCUAUGCUUUGCUACCUUUCCUUUAGGCGUAGAUUUAUAACUCAUCAUAAUCAUCAAGUCUCCCAAGUUUGAAGGUGUUCUCUUGGAAAGAAAAAGUCAACCCAGUCAAGAAGAAAAAGGAGAAGAGAGGUGUGCAUCUUGUCAAUUUUUCUUGAACCUGAGGAAGAAUUUCUUCAUACAUAAAAAUAAAAAAGGAGGAAGUUGUCCCUUAUUCAUCAAAGGGGACUUGCAGAUCUUUUAUUUAUACUUUUUUUCAUCUUGGUUUGAUAUUUUUCUUCUCGGCAUUAUCAGAUAAAGUGAAAGAAGGGUAUUUUCUUUUUGAUUGCUAUACUUGACAACAAGAUAGGCAUCCUCUUCAAUUUUCUUUUGAUUCUUGGAGUAGGAAGGUUUACAUCAAGAUGUACUUGGACUCCGAUAGAUACAACCUAUUUAUCUCUGUGCUUAUAAUCUGUGCUUGUACCAAAUCACUGUAUGCAAGCUAAUCGUGGCUAGGUGAGGUAGCAUGGGACCUUUAGCAGACUGUGGGCUAGGUUUUGAAGUUUGCAUGCUCUUGUUUAUGCUUGAUGGCAAUAUGCCUAACCUUUUCCCCUGCGUGGGAACUUAUCUCAUCUCUAUUUGAAAUGCUUGUUUUAACUUGUGUGCGAUGACUACUAU